UAUGUAAGACAUCAACUAUGUGGGGCUCAAAUACGGGCCGUUUCACAAUAAUUGAUGGCAAAUUUGGUCAGACUGUGUUGGAUUUCCGAAGCUCCACAGUCUGACGUGACAGCCGGCCUGUGCCUGCCGGGGUCGCUGGCAUGCCGGCCAGCCUGUCUACCGUCACAGACCCCGCUGUGAGCUGGCUGGAGCUCUCUCAGGAGCGUCGUGCACAAGAGGCGUUUAUUUUCCCAAAUGUUUGUCUAAAUAACUCAACACACAUAUCCAUUACAAGAUUAACUGGAACCUGCAGGGCUGCUGUGAAAGAUUGCGGGUGUAAC